AGAGUUUGAUCAUGGCUCAGGAUGAAAGUUAGAGAUAGGUUUAAUAAAUGGAAGUGGAGGGGGAGGAUGGGGGUGGUAACAGGCUGAUGGAGACGGCGACUGGUGAGUAAAACGUAUGCGACUGGCUCUUCGGGGGAUAACCCAGAGAAAUUUGGCCUAAUACCCAUAGUCCGCGCGGCUGCAUGGGCGUGCGGGGAAAGCUGCGGCGGAAGGAGAUGGGCAUGCGGCGCAUUAGCUAGUUGGCGGGGCAACGGCCCACCAAGGCUACGAUGCGUAGGGGUUCUGAGAGGAAGGUCCCCCACACUGGUACUGAGACACGGACCAGACUCUUACGGGAGGCAGCAGUGAGGAAUAUUGGUCAAUGGGCGGAGGCCUGAACCAGCCAAGUCGCGUGGGGGACGACGGCCCUACGGGUUGUAAACCCCUUUAGCCGGGGAGUAACAAGCGCCACGCGUGGCGCCAUGAGAGUACCCGGAGAAUAAGCAUCGGCUAACUCCGUGCCAGCAGCCGCGGUAAUACGGAGGAUGCGAGCGUUAUCCGGAUUCAUUGGGUUUAAAGGGUGCGCAGGCGGCGCUCCCAGUCAGCGGUCAAAGUUCCGGGCUCACCGGUGCCGCCGUUGAAACUGGGGUNNNUGAGUAGGUGCGACGNNGCNGAAUGCGUGGUGUAGCGGUGAAAUGCAUAGAUAUCACGCAGAACCCCGAUUGCGAAGGCAGCUGACGAGGCUAUAACUGACGCUAAAGCUCGAAGGUGCGGGCAUCGAACAGGAUUAGAUACCCUNGUAGUCCGCACGGUAAACGAUNGAUGCCCGCUGUUNGCGAUACAGUGUCAGCGGCCAAGCGAAAGCGUUAAGCAUCCCACCUGGGGAGUACGCCGGCAACGGUGAAACUCAAAGGAAUUGACGGGGGCCCGCACAAGCGGAGGAACAUGUGGCUUAAUUCGGUGAUACGCGAGGAACCUUACCCGGGCUUGAAAGUUAGUGACGGCGGAUGAAAGUCUGCUUCCCUUCGGGGCACGAAACUAGGUGCUGCAUGGUUGUCGUCAGCUCGUGCCGUGAGGUGUCGGCUUAAGUGCCAUAACGAGCGCAACCCUUGCCGUUAGUUGCCAGCGGGUAAUGCCGGGAACUCUAGCGGGACUGCUACUGUAAGGUAGAGGAAGGUGGGGAUGACGUCAAAUCAGCACGGCCCUUACGUCCGGGGCGACACACGUGUUACAAUGGUGAGUACAGAGGGUUGCUACUUGGUGACAAAAUGCUAAUCUCCUAAAACUCAUCUCAGUUCGGAUCGGAGUCUGCAACUCGACUCCGUGAAGCUGGAUUCGCUAGUAAUCGCGCAUCAGCCAUGGCGCGGUGAAUACGUUCCCGGGCCUUGUACACACCGCCCGUCAAGCCAUGGAAGCUGGGGGUACCUAAAGUCUGCAACCGCAAGGAGCGGCCUAGGGUAAAACUGGUAACUGGGGCUAAGUCGUAACAAGGUAACCGUA
rnacentral:rRNA from 1 species